rnacentral:rRNA from 1 species
UACGUAGGGGGCGAGCGUUGUCCGGAUUCCUUGGGCGUAAAGAGCUCGUAGGCGGCUUGGCAAGUCGGGUGUGAAACCUCCAGGCUCAACCUGGAGACGCCACCCGAUACUGCUAUGGCUAGAGUCCGGUAGGGGACCACGGAAUUCCUGGUGUAGCGGUGAAAUGCGCAGAUAUCAGGAGGAACACCGGUGGCGAAGGCGGUGGUCUGGGCCGGCACUGACGCUGAGGAGCGAAAGCGUGGGGAGCGAACAGG